CUCCCCUGGCCCUUCAAUCAAGCCCCGCCCCCCUCCUCCCCGCUGGGCCGCUCCCUCAGCGUGGGCUCCUCCCCCUCCCGCGGGGCCCCCCCCCGGGCCCCCCCGGCCCUCAGCGCCCUGCGCGUCGACAGGCCCCGGCCCCCCCAGCUCAACGGCACGGCCAGCGGCCCCCCCAGGACCCGCCGGACCAGCCAGCAAGGCCUGGUCGCCAGGGGCAACCUCUACAGCCGCCACAUCAGCAGCGGGACCCUGCGGCCGUCGCCGGAGAAGCGACCGGCCCCGCCCAGGCAGCCAGGUGAGCCGGAGACGGACCCGGACCGCCCCGACUGGGCCAGAACCCAGACCCGGGACCGCGCGGCAGACACACAGGACAGACGACCGCAGUGCUCUGCACAGCCCCCUGUGCCUCCUCUCUCUCUCCCUCUGCCCCCCUCCUGCGAGACGGAGUCUUCUCUGGACCAGACCCCCCUGACACCCCCGGCCCCCCGCCCUGACUGCCCCCGGAGUGGGGGGCCACGAGACGGAGAGGCCGCCAAGGCCCCGGACGCCGGUCGGGACCCCCCCCGAGCGCCCCCCAGCCCCCCCCGGGCCUGGAGCACGGUGGUACAGCCCUUCACAGCCCAGUGGGUCCGUAGGAAACAGGAGUACCGGAGCACCAGGCCCUGGUGAGGCCGGGCAGGGCGACCCGGAGGAGGGGAGCCGGAGGAGGGGGGGGGGUAGGGGUGAGACCCAGACACUGGGGCGCCCUCUUCAGGGUUGACGUGGAGACCAGCUCUCACCUGACCUUUGACCCUGAAGAAGGAGCCUGUUUCACGUCUGCACGAGCCUAACAAACUCCAGAGGAAAAACACAGAGCUCACACACACACAGAGCUCACACACACUGACACACACACAGAGCCCACACACACACAGAGCUCACACACACUGACACACACAGAGAGUUCACACACACUGACACACACAAAGAGCUCACACACACACACACACAGAGAGCUCACACACACUGACACACACACACAGAGCCCACACACACUCACAAAUACACAGAGAGCUCACACACACAGAGCCCAGACACACACACUCACAUACACACAGAGCUCACACUGACACACACACACAGAGCUCACACACAGAGCUCACAAGCACCCACGCAGACACUUACACACAAACUGAUAAACACACACUAAGCUGAAAAAAUUGUGUCUGUGCUUCAGUGCCAUGUUUUGAUUUCAUGUAAUUCUGAAAGGGGGGAAGAAUGAGGAGAGCAGUGUCUUGUUCGCUAAGGCAGAAUCCCAAUAGGACCUUUCCAGAUCCCGGCUCUGUAAGAUAUGUUAAAUAUGCUCUCAGGCUGAAGUCCAAGCAAGAGAUCUCCUCUGUACAAUAUAAGGAUAUUUCACUAGUGCAAUACAAGUUCUCCAUACAAUAUAAAGAUAUUUCUCUAGUGCCAUCUGGGAUCUCCUCCCUAUACUACACAAGAUAUUUCACUGGUGCAAUACAAGAUCUCCUCUAUACACUAUAAGAAUAUUUCACCUCUGCAAUCAGAGAUCUAAUCUAUACACUACAAAAAUAUUUCACUUGUGCAAUACAAGAUCUCUGCACACUAAAAAUAUUUCACCACUGCAAUCAGAGAUCUCAUCUAUACACUAUAAGAAUAUUUCAC
rnacentral:lncRNA from 1 species